UACGUAGGGGGCAAGCGUUAUCCGGAUUUACUGGGUGUAAAGGGAGCGUAGACGGCAGUGCAAGUCUGGAGUGAAAGGCGGGGGCUCAACCCCCGGACUGCUCUGGAAACUGUACGGCUGGAGUGCAGGAGAGGUAAGUGGAAUUCCUAGUGUAGCGGUGAAAUGCGUAGAUAUUAGGAGGAACACCGGUGGCGAAGGCGGUCUGCUGGACAGCAACUGACGGUGAGGCGCGAAAGCGUGGGGAGCAAACAGG
rnacentral:rRNA from 1 species